AUUUAAUAGUGUUACUGUUAGUUUCUAUGAAACUCGACCGUCAAUGACAGUCAGAUAUUGAUCGAUUGCUUGACUCACUGACUGAUUGAUUAGGCUACAUAUUUGUUGACGGAGAAGACGGCACAGUGCUGAAGAAUAAUUUCUAUAAUUAUCACUUCCCUCUCAAUAUAAACAUCACUUAGAUGAACGCUAACUUGAGAAUGUAUUCGUAAACCUGAGUGACGUCAUACCAUAAUGAAUAAUUCGCUGCUAUCCAGCGUUUGAAUUUUAAUUACGGGUCCUGGGUUCAACUCCCGUGACAGCAGCUGGACUUUCCUCACAACACAAACAACUCCACUCCG